rnacentral:rRNA from 1 species
UGGGGAAUUGUUCACAAUGGGCGCAAGCCUGAUGACGCAACGCCGCGUGGAGGAUGAAGGUCUUCGGAUUGUAAACUCCUGUUGCCCGGGACGAAAAGCUUCGACCUAAUACGUCGAAGUCUGACGGUACCGGGUGAGGAAGCCCCGGCUAACUCUGUGCCAGCAGCCGCGGUAAUACAGAGGGGGCAAGCGUUGUUCGGAAUUACUGGGCGUAAAGGGCGCGUAGGCGGCCUUCUAAGUCAGACGUGAAAUCCCCGGGCUCAACCCGGGAACUGCGUCUGAUACUGGAAGGCUUGAAUCCGGGAGAGGGAUGUGGAAUUCCAGGUGUAGCGGUGAAAUGCGUAGAUAUCUGGAGGAACACCGGUGGCGAAGGCGGCAUCCUGGACCGGUAUUGACGCUGAGGCGCGAAAGCCAGGGGAGCAAACGGGAUUAGAUACCCCUGUAGUCC